rnacentral:miRNA from 1 species
UCAAAUGCCUUUUUCUUCAUGC